rnacentral:rRNA from 1 species
GGUCAAGUGAAGAAGCGCAUACGGUGGAUGCCUUGGCAGUCAGAGGCGAUGAAAGACGUGGUAGCCUGCGAAAAGCUUCGGGGAGUCGGCAAACAGACUUUGAUCCGGAGAUCUCUGAAUGGGGGAACCCACCUAGGAUAACCUAGGUAUCUUGUACUGAAUCCAUAGGUGCAAGAGGCGAACCAGGGGAACUGAAACAUCUAAGUACCCUGAGGAAAAGAAAUCAACCGAGAUUCCCUUAGUAGUGGCGAGCGAACGGGGAUUAGCCCUUAAGCUUCAUUGAUUUUAGCGGAACGCUCUGGAAAGUGCGGCCAUAGUGGGUGAUAGCCCCGUACGCGAAAGGAUCUUUGAAGUGAAAUCGAGUAGGACGGAGCACGAGAAAC